rnacentral:rRNA from 1 species
UGGGGGAUAUUGCACAAUGGGCGAAAGCCUGAUGCAGCGACGCCGCGUGGGGGAUGAAGGCUUUCGGGUUGUAAACCUCUUUCGCUACCGAACAAGGCCGCAGUUUUUGUUGUGGUUGAGGGUAGGUGGAUAAGAAGCGCCGGCUAACUACGUGCCAGCAGCCGCGGUAAUACGUAGGGCGCGAGCGUUGUCCGGAAUUAUUGGGCGUAAAGAGCUCGUAGGCGGUUUGUUGCGUCUGCUGUGAAAACGCGGGGCUUAACUCCGCGCGUGCAGUGGGUACGGGCAGGCUAGAGUGCGGUAGGGGAGAUUGGAAUUCCUGGUGUAGCGGUGGAAUGCGCAGAUAUCAGGAGGAACACCGAUGGCGAAGGCAGAUCUCUGGGCCGUUACUGACGCUGAGGAGCGAAAGCAUGGGGAGCGAACA